UAUAGGAUUACCAAAGAGAUCAAAGAUGAAUGAAAAUAAAGAUGAAAUUUUAUUUUUCCCAUCCAAGUUCAUGAAUCUCUUGAAAUCUCUUCAUGGACGGCUCAAGGAGGAGUCUGUAGGCCCUGGCUAUAAAAAGUUGCCUGCUCAGUAAUGGGUUGAAUCACAUGGUCUCUGAGGGCACAGCUGACCUUGAGGUCCUAUAAUUCUGAGGUUUCAUAGGCAAUACAUUAUUUCAAAUUUAGAAAAGAAGGUAACCACCUGCUAUAGGGUUGAUGGAUAACCCUCUUGAUGACAAAAAAUAAAUUAAGAAUAUAGAUGUUUUCCCUUAUUCUGCAGAUUUACAAGAUUUCAGAGCUGGGAGGUACCCUAUAGAACUGUUCCUACAAUAUUAUUCCCAUUGUUCAGAGGAGAAAACUGAGGCUCAUAGAGAUAUUUAGCUUCCUCAAAAUAAAUAAAUGGAAAGAUCACUAUGUUGUUGCCACAAUCAGCUGAGAGAUAUUGUUCAGAAUUCAGAGAAAUUAGAGAAUUUUCUAUGGAAGACAACAUUGUCCUGGAGCUGUUCUCAAUCCAUUGGAGGACGCUCUGUUAAGAUGCUUCCAGCUGCUAAGGAUCUAGGGCUUUUUUUGUCUUCAAAUUUUCUCCUGGUCAUUCUCCUCGACCUAGGAUCCUCCCCCUUGUCUCAUCUCUUUCUAGAACAAUAGAGAAAGUUUUUGCUUCUCCAGUCACUGAUUAAAGACUCAGGGACCAGGGUUCUUAGUGCUUUAAGCCCUGUGAAGUCUAUAGCUCCCAUGGCUGGAGCAGAGAGAGAGAGCAGGAAGUCAAGAUCCUCUAAGUGGAGAGGGAGUUCAUAGGAGAGAUCAGUGGGAGCCUCAGUGAUAAGUUGUGGGUGGGAUGUAACCGAGGGACUUCUGGGAAGUUUGAUCAAAGCUCUUUGAGCUUAUGGGGAUGGAGAUGGGGGAAAGGGGCUGCUGUGGAUAUGUUGGGAAUGUGGGCCUAAGGGAAAUGAGAAUUAAAUUACAUAACCACACUUUAUCUACAUCUUGGGAAAACGCCAGUCCUUUCUGGACAUCAGUUUUCUUAUCUGUAAGCUGGGAUACCCCUAGGUAGGAAGGUAAGCUUCCUACCCCUAUAAGGUUAUUGUGAGGAAAUGCUUUGUGAUCUUUAAUUAAAGAAAUGGAAAUUACUAGCAUGUUUCAAAUUGUGAAUGAUCUAUCUAACGAUCACAUCCCAGCCUAUUCAUCUAUGCUGAGUCUAUGAGUUUGCUACUAAUUCCUCUUGGCUCACGGAUUCAUUAAAUAUGAGAGAGAAAGAGAGUCUUAUGGUAUAAGCUCCUCAUUUGAUAUAUUAGUAAACUGAGGCCCAGCAAGGUUGUCACUUGCCCAAAAUCAAACAAGAUAGUGCUCACAGAGCAAAUAAUUAGCAGAAUCUCUUCUUUCUUCCUCCUUUCUAAUAUAAAGGAGAGAUUUUAUUUUUUCUGUUUCUCUUCUUUACACACAGGUUUUUAUGGCAUGGGUGAGUGAGUGGAUGAAUGAGGAGAAUCUAGUCAAAGUGAAUCUGUAUAUGAGAAACAUGAGCAAGAAUGGAAAAUGAAGUUGAUUUGUUAAAUCCCUGGGAAUGGAGGACUUUCUAAAGAAACUGAAACUUCAGGAAAUUACCUUGGCUGAGAAUUCUUCGGUAACUUCCCCAGCAGCCCAGCAUCAAUAUAUCUGGCACUCCCUCAUCCGCUGACUGUCUUAUUUAUGCAAUUGAAUUGAAAAUAAAAAAAAAAAUUCCCAUC